GCGAACGCUGGCGGCAGGCCUAACACAUGCCAGUCGAACGAACUCUUCGGAGUUAGUGGCGGACGGGUGAGUAACACGUGGGAACGUGCCUUUUGGUUCGGAAUAACUCAGGGAAACUUGUGCUAAUACCGAAUGUGCCCUUCGGGGGAAAGAUUUAUCGCCAUUAGAGCGGCCCGCGUCUGAUUAGCUAGUUGGUGAGGUAACGGCUCACCAAGGCGACGAUCAGUAGCUGGUCUGAGAGGAUGACCAGCCACACUGGGACUGAGGCACGGCCCAGACUCCUACGGGAGGCAGCAGUGGAGAAUCUUGCGCAAUGGGCGAAAGCCUGACGCAGCCAUGCCGCGUGAAUGAUGAAGGUCUUAGGAUUGUAAAAUUCUUUCACCGGGGACGAUAAUGACGGUACCCGGAGAAGAAGCCCCGGCUAACUUCGUG
rnacentral:rRNA from 1 species